AUUGAACGCUGGCGGCAUGCUUUACACAUGCAAGUCGAACGGACUUAGGUGCUUGCACCUAGGUUAGUGGCGAACGGGUGAGUAAUGCAUCGGAACGUACCGUGUAAUGGGGGAUAACGCAGCGAAAGUUGUGCUAAUACCGCAUACGAUCUACGGAUGAAAGCAGGGGAUCGCAAGACCUUGCGUUAUACGAGCGGCCGAUGUCGGAUUAGCUAGUUGGUAGGGUAAAGGCCUACCAAGGCAACGAUCCGUAGCGGGUCUGAGAGGAUGAUCCGCCACACUGGGACUGAGACACGGCCCAGACUCCUACGGGAGGCAGCAGUGGGGAAUUUUGGACAAUGGGCGCAAGCCUGAUCCAGCCAUGCCGCGUGAGUGAA
rnacentral:rRNA from 1 species